GAUGAACGCUAGCGGCAGGCCUAACACAUGCAAGUCGAGGGGCAUCGCGGUGCAGCAAUGCACUGGCGGCGACCGGCGUACGGGUGCGUAACGCGUAUGCAACCUGCCCCGCACCGGGGGAUAGCCCGCCGAAAGGCGGAUUAAUACCCCAUGGUCCCCGGGGGCCCGCAUGGGCAUCCGGGUAAAGCCUUGGCGGUGCGGGAUGGGCAUGCGUGCCAUUAGCUGGCUGGUGGGGUAACGGCCCACCAGGGCAACGAUGGCUAGGGGAUCUGAGAGGAUGGUCCCCCACACUGGUACUGAGACACGGACCAGACUCCUACGGGAGGCAGCAGUGAGGAAUAUUGGUCAAUGGGCGAAGCCUGAACCAGCCAUGCCGCGUGCGGGAUGAAGGCCCUACGGGUUGUAAACCGCUUUUCCCCGGGAAGAACUAAGCCCCCCGCGGGGGUGAGUGCCGGUACCGGGGAAUAAGGAUCGGCUAACGUCCGUG
rnacentral:rRNA from 1 species